rnacentral:rRNA from 1 species
AACGCGAAGAACCUUACCUGGGCUAGAAUGCAGAUAGACCGCCGGUGAAAGCUGGUUUUGUAGCAAUACACUGUCUGUAAGGUGCUGCAUGGCUGUCGUCAGCUCGUGCCGUGAGGUGUUGGGUUAAGUCCCGCAACGAGCGCAACCCCCAUCACUAGUUGCCAUCAGGUAAAGCUGGGAACUCUAGUGAAACUGCCGUCGUAAGACGCGAGGAAGGAGGGGAUGAUGUCAAGUCAUCAUGGCCUUUAUGCCCAGGGCUACACACGUGCUACAAUGGGGAGGACAAAGGGCAGCGACACAGCGAUGUGAAGCUAAUCCCAAAAACCUCUUCUCAGUUCAGAUUGCAGUCUGCAACUCGACUGCAUGAAGCUGGAAUCGCUAGUAAUCGUAUAUCAGCAAUGAUACGGUGAAUACGUUCCCGGGCCUUGUACACACCGAGACGAC